CUACGGGUGGCUGCAGUGGGGAAUAUUGGACAAUGGGCGCAAGCCUGAUCCAGCCAUGCCGCGUGUGUGAAGAAGGCCUUUUGGUUGUAAAGCACUUUAAGCGAGGAGGAGGCUCCUUUAGUUAAUACCUAAAGAGAGUGGACGUUACUCGCAGAAUAAGCACCGGCUAACUCUGUGCCAGCAGCCGCGGUAAUACAGAGGGUGCGAGCGUUAAUCGGAUUUACUGGGCGUAAAGCGUGCGUAGGCGGCUUUUUAAGUCGGAUGUGAAAUCCCUGAGCUUAACUUAGGAAUUGCAUUCGAUACUGGAAAGCUAGAGUAUGGGAGAGGAUGGUAGAAUUCCAGGUGUAGCGGUGAAAUGCGUAGAGAUCUGGAGGAAUACCGAUGGCGAAGGCAGCCAUCUGGCCUAAUACUGACGCUGAGGUACGAAAGCAUGGGGAGCAAACAGGAUUAGAUACCCCUGUAGUC
rnacentral:rRNA from 1 species